UACGUAGGGUGCAAGCGUUGUCCGGAUUUACUGGGCGUAAAGAGCGCGUAGGCGGUCUGUUAAGUGAGAAGUGAAAUCUCCAGGGCUCAACCCGGAAACUGCUUUUCAUACUGGCAGACUUGAGGGAUGCAGAGGUUUGUGGAAUUCCUGGUGUAGCGGUGAAAUGCGUUGAUAUCAGGAGGAACACCCAUGGCGAAGGCAGCAAACUGGGCAUCAUCUGACGCUGAGGCGCGAAAGCGUGGGUAGCAAACAGG
rnacentral:rRNA from 1 species